UUCUUCUAUUUCUUAGAGUAAAGAUGUACACAGAAAAAGGUCCUGAAAAUCAUUCUGUUGGAAGUAGUUUGUGUGUGUUUUCAGAUGGCAAUAAUAUUGACAUGGAUCCAAAAUAAAAGUGUUAGCUACAAAAGUAAAUUAAAGCAUACAUGUAAAUAAAAAUACAGAACUACAAAACAAUUGUGCUCCUUUCUUCAUAGGAAAUUGGAGAAAUUGAAAUGGUUAAAACCACAUGUAAAAAGACUGAGUCUGACUUCCACCAAUGUCAUUUAGAGAGGGAAUUCUAUGCCAUAAAGCGGACUCCUGGAGAAACAAUGUACUAUAUAUCAUUGCCUGGAAGAAUCAGAUGCAGGAAGUUCCUGUCUAAUCUGGGCAAAUGUCCCUUCCAAGAACAAACAGAAGAACUGAAGAGAGAAAUAUGUUACUUUCAACUGUAUCCUGAUUAUUAUGAGCAAAAUAUGAAUGCAGUAAGAUUCAAUUGUUAUACUGAAUGAGACUCUGAGCCUGACUGGACUGUUACCCACCACUUGCAGACGUUGAUUAUAGUUCUGGAACUCUAAUAUGGAAUCACCCUUCAGUCUGGAUGCCAGAGUCACAGAGACAUGCAGUCCAGUUAUGUACACCUGAACAAUUGUCUUCCUUUUACUUUUCACACACUUCUUUUAAAUGAACCAUUGUAAGCCUCCCAUGAAAAACCUAUGCUUUGCUCAAUAAAGGUACUCCCAAUCCUCUUG
rnacentral:lncRNA from 1 species